rnacentral:rRNA from 1 species
UACGUAGGUGGCGAGCGUUGUCCGGAUUUACUGGGCGUAAAGAGCGCGCAGGCGGCUGGUCAAGUCCGAUGUGAAAGCUCCCGGCUUAACUGGGAAAUUGCAUCGGAAACUGAUCGGCUGGAAGGUGGGAGAGGGUAGCGGAAUUCCCGGUGUAGUGGUGAAAUGCGUAGAUAUCGGGAGGAACAUCAGUGGCGAAGGCGGCUACCUGGCCCAAUACUGACACUCAGGUGCGACAGCGUGGGGAGCAAACAGG